CUUUUCAAUUGCCGUUAGCAAUCGCGGCGGCUGCGGCGCAGGACCCGGGGAUUCUCAGCUGAAGUCUAAACGCGGUUGACAACUGUAUGAAUCUUAUGGCCCGUUUGCUUUCAUCCUGGAACAGAGGAUGGGACCUGCCUUGGAAUGGUGUGACCCAGGAAGAUGCCACCCAACAAGAACACUGUACCCUGAGAAAGGCGGUCCAACCGGAAAAAUCCUCCAGAUUAAGCCCAAAAGACAGCUGCAGCGUGCUCCGGUGCUUACGAUCAGGCUGGAAGAGAAUGGGCCAAUACAGAUGCGUGUGUCCAGUUUUAUUGUCACCAGAACAGAGAGGGAGAAAUCCAGUUCCCAUUUGUGCUCUCCUAUGACACAAACCUCUGCAAAUUCAG